CCUGGUGGCUCAGAUGGUAAAGCAUCUGCCUGCAAUGCAGGAGACCCUGGUUCGAUCCCUGGGUCAGGA
rnacentral:tRNA from 1 species